AACGAACGCUGGCGGCAGGCCUAACACAUGCAAGUCGAACGCACCGCAAGGUGAGUGGCGCACGGGUGAGUAACACGUGGGAAUGUAUCCUUUGGUUCGGAAUAACGUCUGGAAACGGACGCUUAUACUGGAAGUGCGCUUCGGGGGAAAGAUUUAUCGCCAUUCGAGCGGCCCUCGUCUGAUUAGCUUGUUGGUGAGGUAAAGGCUCACCAAGGCUACGAUCAGUAGCUGGUCUGAGAGGAUGAUCAGCCACACUGGGACUGAGACACGGCCCAGACUCCUACGGGAGGCAGCAGUGGGGAAUCUUGCGCAAUGGGCGAAAGCCUGACGCAGCCAUGCCGCGUGAAUGAUGAAGGUCUUAGGAUUGUAAAAUUCUUUCACCGGGGACGAUAAUGACGGUACCCGGAGAAGAAGCUCCGGCUAACUUCGUGCCAGCCGCCGCGGUAACAC
rnacentral:rRNA from 1 species